UACGUAGGUGGCAAGCGUUGUCCGGAUUUACUGGGCGUAACGAGCGCGCAGGCGGUCGUGCAAGUCGCGUGUGAAAGCCCCCGGCUCAACCGGGGAGGGUCACGCGAUACUGCUCGACUUGAAGGCAGGAGAGGGAAGUGGAAUUCCCGGUGUAGUGGUGAAAUGCGUAGAUAUCCGGAGGAACACCAGUGGCGAAAGCGGCCACCUGGACUGCACCUGACGCUGACACGCGAAAGCUAGGGGAGCGAACGGG
rnacentral:rRNA from 1 species